rnacentral:tRNA from 1 species
GGAGGUGUUCAGGUACCUGGUGGGCCUCCCCGCCUUCAAAGCGGGUGGGACGGGGAACCCUCGUCCGGCGGGUUCGAUUCCCGUCCGCCUCCGCCA